AUGGCGUCGGCUCCAGCUCGAGCUAUUGCGGUGGUGGCUCUCGUGCUCGCGUGCUGUGGGCUGGCCAUGGCCGCGGACAACGCGCCGGUAUGGCUGAGGGCGCAUGCCACGUUCUACGGCGGCGCCGAUGCCUCUGACACCAUGGGUGGGGCGUGCGGGUACGGCAACCUGUACUCGGCGGGCUACGGCACACGGACGGCGGCGCUGAGCCAGGCGCUCUUCAACGACGGCGCGGCGUGCGGUCAGUGCUACAAGAUAUCUUGUGACCGCAAGCUUGCGGAUCCGAUGUUCUGCAAACCCGGCGUCACGGUGACAAUCACGGCCACGAACCUCUGCCCGCCUAACUAUGCACUCCCGAGCGACAAUGGAGGAUGGUGCAAUCCUCCGAGGCCGCACUUCGACAUGGCGCAGCCGGCCUGGGAGAAGAUUGGUGUGUACAAGGGUGGCAUCAUCCCUGUAAUCUACCAGAUGGUUCCAUGCGUGAAGAAAGGUGGGGUGAGGUUCAAGAUCGCUGGUCAUGAUUACUUCAACCUAGUUAACGUAUUCAACGUGGGAGCUGCUGGAUCAAUCAAAUCGAUGGAUGUCAAGACCUCUGAUUCAGACACAUGGGCGCCAAUGGCUCGUAACUGGGGCGCGAACUGGCAAUCUCUAGCAAAUCUUACCGGGAAGAUGCUCUCAUUCAGAUUGACCAACACAGAUGGGCAGACGCUUGUGUUCAACAAUAUUGUUCCAGCUGGAUGGACGUUUGGGCAAACAUUUGCGAGCAAAUUGCAAUUUUAA
rnacentral:rRNA from 1 species